CCAAGAGUCGAGUUGUUUGGGAAUGCAGCUCUAAGUGGGUGGUAAAUUCCAUCUAAAGCUAAAUACCGGCGAGAGACCGAUAGCGAACAAGUACAGUGAUGGAAAGAUGAAAAGCACUUUGAAAAGAGAGUGAAAAAGUACGUGAAAUUGUUGAAAGGGAAGGGCUUGCAAGCAGACACUUAACUGGGCCAGCAUCGGGGCGGCGGGGAGCAAAACCACCGGGGAAUGUACCUUUCGAGGAUUAUAACCCCGGUCCUUACUCCCAUACCACCCCGAGGCCUGCAAUCUAAGGAUGCUGGCGUAAUGGUUGCAAGUCGCCCGUCUUGAAACACGGACCAAGGAGUCUAACAAUCAUGCAAGUGUUUGGGCCCAAAACCCAUACGCGCAAUGAAAGUAACCGGAGCGAACCUUACCGGUGCAGCUCCAGCCACACCGAGACCCAAAUCCCGGUGUGAGCAAGCAUGGCUGUUGGGACCCGAAAGAUGGUGAACUAUACCUGGAUAGGGUGAAGCCAGAGGAAACUCUGGUGGAGGCUCGUAGCGGUUCUGACGUGCAAAUCGAUCGUCGAAUCUGGGUAUAGGGGCGAAAGACUAAUCGAAC
rnacentral:rRNA from 1 species